CCGAAGGUCACGUGAUCGCAACCGAGCCAAUGGCCCUUGAAAUUUGCUUUGAUAUGCAAGUGCUUUGGAUUACAGGCAUGUUUCCAGAAUGAAUUGUGCCCACAAACCAAGGUUUUACUGUAUUUCCUUCCUUCUGGGUUUGCUGGACAUAAACUGUGACAGGUGGCUUCUUGGUGACCAUGAACGACGGGGAGUCAACAGGAGCAUGGGUUAGGGAAAAGCCUGGAUCAACAGUAACACAAAUUAUUGAGAAAGGGUAUGAAUGUCUUUACACCCAGGGGACUCCCCACCGUGAGGUAAGGGGGACGAAAUCGAGACACGGAGAUGACUUGCCGGGAAAGUUAGUUGUGAUAAAGAGUGUUUGUUGGCUUUAUUACUUUUCUUGUUGCAAAUUCGAUAAAGAUAGGUCGGAUGCUAAAUGUAAAUGCACAGUAGACGGAAGGGCUGCACAGACUUCUGUUUUGCGUUUUUAUACAGUCCUGCUUUAUCGCCCACUCUGUCCUGUAGCGAUACCACGAAGAACAAGCUUAAGAAAGCCGAUCUUGUGCGUUGGCUAGGUUUUCCCCGUCAUCACCUGGGCUUUUCACCACGACUGCCUACAAACAAGAGAUUCUGUCAGAGGGGAAGUGGGAGCCGACUGGUUUCAUUCGUUGUCAUCCUCCGAGCCGGCUGCCAAGGUGGUUAAAGGCUUUCUCUACGGAACAGAAAAGGCAAACCUCCCUCGAAGGGAAAAGCAGGAUCUUGUCUCACGUAAGAGACAGGAACAGGGUCCGCCGCAUCCUCGAAAAGGAUUCGAUGCAACUCUUUGGAAAUUAACUUCCUCAGAGCCAAGGAGAGCUAGACUGUUUCUCAGUGGAUUGUGUCCUGCAUUGAGUAGUAAGGAAGCUGCCAUCCCUCUUGGGAUACCUCAUUGGGUACCAUAUACUUCCGGGCGAGGACGUGGACUCCUUGGGCGUCCAGCAUUGUGCCUUGUGCACACUAGUGCCUUCCACUGAUGAGUUGUAUCUGGGGCUGACAAGUAUAUGGCUUCCUCUUUUGGAGACCACCGUCCCCUCCCAGGGAGGUGCUGAUGAGGUUGGGGGCGGGGAGGAAUAAGCCUACCGCUAGGUCGAUUAGAUGACAGAAUCUAGCCUCUUGAGUUAGAGCGGGGCCUUUGGUACCUCUCCCGGGGGAGAUAACAGCCCUUUAUCUCAGCUGUCACCCCCUACAGCUGCACGUUCUUUCAAGUCGAUUUGACCAGUCAUGAGAAAUUUUGUAACACAUAUGCAUUGACACCUGCCAUCUCUAAGGUACUGAAUGAGAAUACGACGAAAUGGACCUGCAAUCGACAUUGGUGUUUUCAGAGUUCCACGGAUCUCACGGUGGCAAAUACUUCUUUAAGGCAGGAACAGCUGUCAGCUGUCUGUACGAAGCGAACAGUUUCUGGGGCACCUGGGUGGCUCAGUUGGUUGAGCGUCCGACUUCGGUUCAGGUCACGAUCUUGCGGUUCGUGAGUUUUGAGUCCUGUGCUGAGUCCAAGAGCCUUGGAGCCUGCUUCCGAUUCUGUGUCUCCCUCUCUCUCUGCCCCUCCCCCCCCAUCUCUCUCAAAAUAAAGAAACGUUAAAAAAAAUUGAAAAAAAGAAGUGAAUAGUUUCUAUUUGAGAAACUGUGGGCACCUGUGAGGAAGAAUACCAAUCGUGAGAGACUGGGUGCAAGGUGGCCUGUAACCAAGUUGUUAAAAAUCUUCUGGGCAGAAGAACAUAAGGGUCAGAAUCAAGGCACUGAAGACGUAAAGGAGGGAAUGAAACCGAAAGACAAUUAGCGGGUAAAAUGGAUACUCUGUGACCAAAUGGGGGUGAGUGACAAAAAAAAAGUGCUUGAGGGUUACUCCCUGGGGUCUAGUUGGGAAGCUCGGGCGAAGAGAGAUUUUGAGUAGAAGGUGAAAAAGUUGAUUCAUUUUGGGCUGUGAUAUAAUUGUGGUGUCUAUAAGACCAACAGCAUUGAUCAACUCAUUCAAUAGUUGGAGAAACUAAUCUGUAGUUCAAGAUACACGUGGACAUAACUUUACCUUUCUGUGAUGCUUCAGAUGACUCUUUGGUAUCUAGCCAUGUCUUAGGGGUCACCAUAAUUAACAUUAAGUGUUGCUUGACCGUAAAUGUAUAGAGUUGCAGGUUGUAGAGAGCUGUGUUUAUAGAAAGCCGAAAACAAGCCAUUAACUAGAUUUACUAAUAGGUGCCUUGCCCAGGAACAGUGCAUCGGGGGAAAAAAAAAACAAGCAAGCAAACAAAAAAACAUAUAAAUUAAUAUGUCCAGAAAAAAAAAAAAGAAAAAGGAAGAUACAACCCUUGUUCAAGGAACUUAUUGUCUUCAGCCUAUAGAAGAUAUGACAGGUGGCCAGAUUACCUGUGUUAGGAUCAUGGACCUUGCGCUUGCUAGAUGACCUUGCGCAAGUUAGGUAACUUUUUAAAGCUUGGAUUUGCUCCCUUGCCAAAUCAUCUUUGCAGAAUAUCAGUAUCCUCCUCAUUAAGGAGUUGUAAGGAUUAGCUACGGCGAAACAAAAAUUGA